AAUCAACGCUGGCGGCGUGCCUCAGACAUGCAAGUCGAACGAUUAAAGCUCUCUUCGGAGAGUGCAUAAAGUGGCGCACGGGUGAGUAACACGUAAGUAAUCUACCUUCGAGUGGGGAAUAACGUCCGGAAACGGACGCUAAUACCGCAUAACGCAGCGGCAUCGCAAGAUGACAGUUGUUAAAGAUUUAUCGCUUGAAGAGGAGCUUGCGGCAGAUUAGCUUGUUGGUAAGGUAACGGCUUACCAAGGCUACGAUCUGUAACCGGUCUAAGAGGACGGUCGGUCACACUGACACUGAAUAACGGGUCAGACUCCUACGGGAGGCAGCAGUCGGGAAUUUUGGACAAUGGGGGAAACCCUGACCCAGCAACGCCGCGUGAAGGAUGAAGUAUUUCGGUAU
rnacentral:rRNA from 1 species